rnacentral:tRNA from 1 species
AGGAGUGUAGCUCAGCUUGGUAGAGCAGCGGUCUCCAAAACCGCCGGUCGGGGGUUCGAGUCCUCCCACUCCUGCCA